rnacentral:rRNA from 1 species
UGGGGAAUAUUGGGCAAUGGGCGCAAGCCUGACCCAGCAACGCCGCGUGAAGGAAGAAGGCUUUCGGGUUGUAAACUUCUUUUAAGAGGGAAGAGCAGAAGACUGUACCUCUUGAAUAAGCUCCGGCUAACUACGUGCCAGCAGCCGCGGUAAUACGUAGGGAGCGAGCGUUGUCCGGAUUUACUGGGUGUAAAGGGCGUGUAGGCGGGAAUGCAAGUCAGAUGUGAAAUCCCGGGGCUUAACUCCGGAACUGCAUUUGAAACUGUGUUUCUUGAGUACUGGAGAGGCAGACGGAAUUCCUAGUGUAGCGGUGAAAUGCGUAGAUAUUAGGAGGAACACCAGUGGCGAAGGCGGUCUGCUGGACAGCAACUGACGCUGAGGCGCGAAAGCGUGGGGAGCA